rnacentral:rRNA from 1 species
CCCUUAGAUGUUCUGGGCCGCACGCGCGCUACACUGAUGCAUUCAACGAGCACCCGCUGGGCCGAGAGGUCCGGCUAAUCUUUGAACGUGCAUCGUGCUGGGGAUAGAUGAUUGCAAUUAUUCAUCUUCAACGAGGAAUUCCUAGUAAACGCAAGUCAUCAGCUUGCAUUGAUUGCGUCCCUGCCCUUUGUACACACCGCCCGUCGCACCUACCGAUUGAAUGGUCCGGUGAAAUUCUCGGACGCGGACUUGCGAUGUUAAUUCGGAGCUUGACUGUGAAAGUUAAUUAAACCUUACCAUUUAGAGGAAGGUGAAGUCGUANCA